UACGAAGGGGGCUAGCGUUGCUCGGAAUCACUGGGCGUAAAGCGCACGUAGGCGGCUUACUAAGUCAGGGGUGAAAUCCUGGAGCUCAACUCCAGAACUGCCUUUGAUACUGGUAAGCUCGAGUCCGGGAGAGGUGAGUGGAACUGCGAGUGUAGAGGUGAAAUUCGUAGAUAUUCGCAAGAACACCAGUGGCGAAGGCGGCUCACUGGCCCGUUACUGACGCUGAGGCACGAAAGCGUGGGGAGCAAACAGG
rnacentral:rRNA from 1 species